rnacentral:ribozyme from 14 species
AAACAAAGAGAUAACAUCAACAAGAGAGAAGCAUAUAGAAAAGUGCUUCUUCCUGGACCUUUUUCUUUUCUUUUCUUUUCUUUUUACCUA